CAUUUAACUUUGAUGCCUUUUCAUCAUUUCGGACAAAUGUAUCUUUUAACUUCGAUUUAAAUAUUCUAAAUAUUGCUGUAGAAUAUUAACACUUUCUUUUUCUAAAAAAAUAUAUAAUAACAGAGAAAAUAGUUCCCACAAAUAAUGUGGUGUUUGGUGAGUUAGAAGGUUCAACAACAAGUAAUUCUGGUGAAUGGGAUACUCCUUGUGGCUAUUUUUAUCAUCCUAGGGCACGCCGUCGUGUCCGUUCGCCUCCGCCUCUACCUUCGUCGUCUCGGCCACGACGUUCUCGGCCUUGUCCGAAGAAGGCAUGUCCUUCUCCGCCUCCACCUCGGCCUUGGCGUCGAUUCCGUGGUCCGAAUCCGAAUAAAAUUAUUGAAAAAGAUUUUCCAUUUGUACCUGAACCUAGGGCCUUGCCACCUUUGCCCAGACCUCCCUCUUACCCUUAGCUAGGGAACUAUGAAGGACCUUCAGAAUUUGAUGAUUUGAUCAUUGGAUGCAUAUUAGUCUCUAUAUCAAUAUAUUAAUCACGAGCAUAGUAUAGGUUUAAAUGCUCUAUAUAUAGUACCAUUUGUAACAAUUUCAUGCUAUAAUAAUUGCUAAAAGAUUAUUUCA